rnacentral:rRNA from 1 species
AGCGAACGCUGGCGGCAGGCCUAACACAUGCAAGUCGAACGGAUCCUUCGGGAUUAGUGGCGGACGGGUGAGUAACACGUGGGAACGUGCCCUUUGGUUCGGAACAACUCAGGGAAACUUGAGCUAAUACCGGAUGAGCCCUUCGGGGGAAAGAUUUAUCGCCAUUGGAGCGGCCCGCGUCUGAUUAGCUAGUUGGUGAGGUAAAGGCUCACCAAGGCGAGGAUCAGUAGCUGGUCUGAGAGGAUGAUCAGCCACAUUGGGACUGAGACACGGCCCAAACUCCUACGGGGGGCAGCGGUGGGGAAUCUUGCGCAAUGGGCGAAGGCCUGACGCAGCCAUGCCGCGUGUAUGAUGAAGGUCUUAGGAUUGUAAAAUACUGUCACCGGGGAAGAUAAUGACGGUACCCGGAGAAGAAGCCCCGGCUAACUACGUGCCAGCCGCCGCCGUAAAAC